rnacentral:lncRNA from 1 species
CUGUUUGUCUCCUCAUUCAUCUUCUCUGGUGAGAUGACAACUCUGUCAGUACCCGUUUCCAAAUUCUAAUUUUCCCCUUUGUAAUUUCUCACCUUGCUGACCACAGGCAAACAGGAGAGAGAAGCUGAGCUGUUUUUGGCAGAUGCUUUAGAUAAAGACCAAAUACAAGCUAAAAUCCUGCAGGAAGGAAGACAAUUUGCUAAGGAAGGAUUGCAUCAGGAGUCUGGCUGCCACUUCUUUUGUGAGGUUUGAUCACAUAAUAGCUUUAGGAGGUGUCUGUGCCUCAAAUCCAAUGACCGUGAUGUGAAAAUGUGGACUGCACCUCCAGCUCUCCUGUUUUGAAAUAGAAGUCCAUAAAAUUUAUAGUUACAAAAAGUCAAACACAUUUUUAUUUCUUCCCAGAUGUUCAUGCUUUCUAAUUAAGAAGAAACAUCCCAUUAGUAACAAUGUUCUAAAUAAUAGUCCUGAGUCCUCUUUUUACCAUUCACUUUUCUCCUUUUCAAAAUAACUUUUAAUUAUAAUAUGUAAAAUAUGGUUAUUAUUAACAAUUUGGAAACUACAAAGAAUACUAUUUCCUUCAUAUCAGUGCUAUCCUUAUAGUGUUUCUGCUUUGCUUGGAGAAUCAAGCUAUUAUAAACAGAGUAAGCCUUUCAAACAUACCUGGGUUUUAACCAGAACUCUGCCACAUUCUAGCUGUGGUUACAGACAAUUUCUUAACCUCCUUAACACUCUUUUCUUUGGCUAUAAAUAAGGAUAGUUAUAGCUGACUCUUGUGGUUGGCCUGAGAAUUCGAAAUAAAGAUACUUGGCACGUAGUAAAUGGUCAAUUAAUGGCAACUAUCAUAAUUAUUACUACCUUUUAAGUUUAAGAGUUUAAAUUUAAACUUUUUUAUAGUAUUUUUUAAUGCUUCAUAAUUGCAAUCCUGCUUCUGAUAGAGGAAUAUGCCUAGUGUGUGGAACUGAGAAAGACCACAACCAAUUUCUCAGAUGAGUACACUUUCCCAAUGCUUCCAUAAGGGAUUUGUCACAUCCGCCCUGCUCAUUAGUUUGUGAGAAUCACUGUUCAAAAGAAAAUUACCCAGGGAAGGGAGACCAUGUCUGAUAUAUUGUGAAAUUCUGCACAGCCAGUAACUGUUCCAUGCAUGCCCACUGCUACUGACAUUGGCCCUUGGAGUUAUUAAUCAUACACGUCAGGUAUUGCUCAUUGAUCCCCUCUUUCUGUCAGUGCAAAAAUCCCUGCAUAUCGUACCUUUCUUUUAUAGCAUUUGGAGGUAGGAUCAAGCAGGAAAGCUUGAACCCGCAAAACUGCCUCCACUCACUGAAGGCUUUCUGGUGCUGUAGCUGGGUGCUACAGCUGGGUGCUGUAACUGGGUGCUGUAGCUGGGUGCUAUAGCCAGGUGCUGUAACCAGGUGCUGUAGCUGGGUGCUGGAACCGGGUGCUGUAGCUGGGGGCUAUUGUUGGGUGCUGUAACUGGGUGCAGUGUAACAGUGUAACCACUGAGGAAACUGAUUCACAGAAGCUGGUCCCUUAACGUGUAUCGUCCAGCCAGGAGGAGCCUGGAUUCAAGUUCAGAUCAUUCACAUUUCAAAGCCUUUCCUCUUUGCACUCACCAGAGGUCACCAGAAUCAGAGAGUGAGGGUGGGAGAAGACCACAGGAAAGACUGAGACUGAAUGUAAGCAAGUGGGGAGAGGGAAGGUCUGUGGCCAACCAGCGAAUGAGCACCCCAAUGAGAAUGUUCAGAUACAACGUUUUCAACAUUGUAGGUUCACAAGACACAUCUAAGUAUACACUGAAUUUGGCAACCUGUACGCCACAAGCUUUCAAGCUUUUUUUUUUUCUUUUCCAAUUUUGGAAACUACCAAAGUCCUGCAUUUCCACUCUGCAACCCCAUAGGAGAGACAGGGAACAUACUGGGUAGAUCUUGAGUGGAAUAGCUGGGAUGAAUGAGUGCACACAGAGGGAGGAGUGUUCUGCUCUGAACUGUUUAACAGCCUUCCCAUCAGAGCUGCCCAGCAGAAGAACUGGCUGCUCUGGAGAACAGGGCAUUGAGCUAAAGAAGUACCACAGCACUCCCAAGGAUAGGUUUCUUCCCAUGGAUGGAAGGGACACUUCCCUUAAACAUUUACUGAGCCUCCCAGUAUGUGCUGUACACUGUGCUGGGAGCUGUCGAGAUGCAGAACCCUCAUGGAGGCUGCAAUCCUAGCUAACCCACCAGCCUGCUAAGUGUAUAUACCCUAUUUCUUUCACAUGUAUUGUAACCUUAAGAAGCAGGUGCUAUUAAACCCCAAUUAGAAGAUUAGAAUACUGAGACAGAGAGGUUGAGAAAGUUGUUCAAGGACACAAGAUGGUAAGUGACAGAGAGAGGACUUUCACUGGGAUUAAAAGUCUGUGUUCUCAAUGACCGUGCCAAAAACCCUCUCCCUCAGUGGGGAUACCAGCUUGGAAUUCUGAGUCAUCACUCAGGAAAUCUG